rnacentral:rRNA from 1 species
GGAGGAUGCAAGCGUUAUCCGGAUUUAUUGGGUUUAAAGGGUACGUAGGCGGAAAAUUAAGUCAGUAGUGAAAUCCUGCAGCUUAACUGUAGAACUGUUAUUGAUACUGGUUUUCUUGAAUAUAGUUGAGGUAGGCGGAAUGUGUAAUGUAGUGGUGAAAUGCUUAGAUAUUACACAGAACACCGAUUGCGAAGGCAGCUUACUAAGCUAUGAUUGACGCUGAGGUACGAAAGCGUGGGGAGCGAACAGGAUUAGAUACCCUGGUAGUCCACGCCGUAAACGAUGAUCACUCGUUGUUGGCAAUACAUCGUCAGCGACUGAGCGAAAGCAUUAAGUGAUCCACCUGGGGAGUACGCUCGCAAGAGUG